UGCAAGCGUUAUCCGGAUUCACUGGGUUUAAAGGGUGCGUAGGAGGGCAGGUAAGUCAGUGGUGAAAUCCCCGAGCUUAACUUGGGAACUGCCGUUGAUACUAUCUGUCUUGAAUACCGUGGAGGUGAGCGGAAUAUGUCAUGUAGCGGUGAAAUGCUUAGAUAUGACAUAGAACACCAAUUGCGAAGGCAGCUCGCUACACGAAUAUUGACUCUGAGGCACGAAAGCGUGGGGAUCAAACAGG
rnacentral:rRNA from 1 species